rnacentral:piRNA from 1 species
UCUGAAGUUUUCUUCCGAAGA